rnacentral:tRNA from 2 species
GCCUUGGUGGUGAAAUGGUAAACACAAUUGAUUCAAAAUCAAUCAUCUAUUUUUAGAUUUGGAGGUUCGAUUCCUCUUCAAGGCA